rnacentral:lncRNA from 1 species
UGUCGCAGUAUCUUCGAGACGAGUACUCCAGGUAGUUAGAUUACAUUUACGCUCGUGCUGGUGGGCCGAGUGGAUUUUUACCGGAUUGUUCAGGUUGUUCCGGACUGGUGGGUGCCGUCAGAGUUGACGGUGGACCCAUAUCGCCUUUUUGGCGUCAGAUUGUGCCGAGGGCACAUUACCUGUUGGUGGUUAGACCAGUUUGAGUCGGUUACUUGACUUUGGCUUUUCAGAACCUGUUUGAGCUCGACAGAGAUACGCUGCAUACUCGGUUGGGUAGCGCCCACGAGUGCCACUCCGGAGUCAGGCUUUGUGCUUUUGCGUUGGUGUCGCUCAUGCCAGUUGGACUUACUCUCCACGGACCAGUUAGUGUGGAUAGAGCCCGAUAGUCGCAACGGGGCAGGGACGGGUGUAUUCACAGUACCGGGGACAGGUAUGCUUACAGUCCCGAUUUGGAUUGGGUCAGAUUUGACAUUUCCUACAGUUGGUUAGUGUAGAGUAUGAUAGUGUAGUGGAUAAUAGCGGUAGAGUGUACUUCCUGCUUUUCCUUCUAUUCUUGCUCCCUUCUGUAGACUUAGUGGGUGACCGAUGUCGUUUUGGGCGGUACCCACUGAGGACUACUUGUUUUUACAGUAGUUCUCACGCCCAGUUGUUACUUAUGUUUUGCAGAGCCACAGGUGCCGGCUGCUGCAUCUUCUGCCGAUCAGGAUCGAGGCAAGGGCGUUGCGAGCUAGAGCCCUACCCGACAGUCAGAGCUAGAGGCUUUCCCCUACUGCAGGUAAUUUUGUUUUGGAGUUUAUGUACAUAGUUGUUUAACUCGCCAGUGCGAGUAGCUUUGUAUUUUGGAUUCUAGCUAUGUAUAUGAAACUCAGAUAUUUAGCUUAUUUUUUUGAGCAGCUCUAUGCUACUGUUUGUAGCAUUGUAUUUCUACAGGUACUUUGACGCUUCGUAUACAGA